UGGGCCUUCCCCUGCCUCCGUGUUGUCCGUUGAUGUAUGGAGGAGUUUGAAUAACUCUGCUUUCCUUGCUGUAGCAGGGUAGGGGAUUUGUCACCUCCUUAGGUCGGUGGUAAUGUGUGGGAUCGUCCAGGAUCUGAUUGCUGCAGGACUAGCCACAUCUCUUCUGCUUGAAGGUGUAUCAAUUCUAGCCGGGGUGCUAGGAAGAGGUGAUUCUUCACCAUCUUUUGGAAAAAUACUUAAAUAACAAUAAAGAUGCAAUUAUUUGUACCCAGGGUUCUUGUAC